rnacentral:lncRNA from 10 species
GAAAUACCUAAUGUAAAUGAUGAGUUGACGGGUGCAGCAAACCAACAUGGCACACGUUUACCUAUGUAACAAACCUGCACAUUGUGCACAUGUACCUUAGAACUUAAAGUAUAAUUAAAAAAAUAAUAAUAAGCCAUGUCCUUUUGCAUCCUAAAGUGCUCAUCCUCCUAUGUCCCUUAUCUCAACAUUAAAUAGAACUGCCAAUGGAGCCCUGCAGUGAAGAACUCCAGGGGCCACCAUUCAUCUUGCAAUAGGCAAAUGAGGACAAUUUACAUGAAAUACAAUUUUAAAAGUGCCUCCCUUGACUUAGACAGCAUGACAAUCUACCUAAUUACCUGAGUCAAAACCUCAUGCGUUAUCCUUGAUAUCUUUCCUUCAUAUCUAAUUGCUGUCAACUCCAGUUCCCGAAUCCCUCACAAAUCCAUUCUCCUCUCAAUGUCUAAUGCAACUCCCCUGAUUUAGAUGUCAUCAUCGUCCUGGUUCUUUUAAUUUAAAAUCCAAACCUCUUCAUACUAUUUUCAGAAUCUUCAGAUACUGUUCCCACUUGCCACUCUGGCUUCCACUCUAGCUACUUUCCCUUAAUCUUCUACAAUCCAGUCAUACUGAAAGUUUCUCAGUUGCUCUAAGCUUUCUCUUACCUUUGUGAUUUUAGUCAUGCUUUUUCCUCAACUCAAAUAUUUGUGUGUGUGUGUGUGUGUGUGUGUGUGUGUGUGUGUGUUUCUUCUCUUUACCAAGAAGCCUUAACUUGGGCAUCCAUAGUAUUCUAGGCAACUAUUUGAGUAUAACCGGUUUACUUACGAGGUGAUCCCAGGAGAAAUGUUAGGAAAAUGAGUGAGAUAGAAGGAAAGGGAGACAAUACAGAGUAUAUUAAUGAGCAUGUUACCACUAUGGGCAAUGGAUACUCGAUUCUCCUAGGAACAUUUGGGAUAUAAUACAGAACACACCCCAGAAUAACCGCAUACAAGAAGCAAGGAAGCUGGGCUACCCAUCUUCUUUCCCCUGUUGUCCUUGAUUGACAGCAUUUCCUACAGAGUCAGUUAUUCAGCCCGAUCAUUGGACAGGUUUCACAGCUAGAGAAAUCCCUCAGUCAGAGUAUGGCAGGGCUGAAAGUGGGACAUCAACAUAUGCUAAGAACAUAUAUGGGAAGCCAAACCUGAUAGCUGAAAACUCUUUUAAUAUUCCUCUUCUGGGACCCUUUUGAAUUAUUAUGUCAUUUAUCAAGUUUUAGUGGGAGAAAUUACAAUUAAACAACAAAUUGCAAUAAACCAUAUGUCCAGUUCAACAUUGUUUCCCUAAAACUUGGCCCAUAGUUGGUACUCCCUAUACCUUUUGACUAAACUCUUUUUUUUUGUUUUACAGUAUAUUUUACAUUUGGUAGCAAUAAUUACAUCCCUUUCAAAGUUUUUCCAGGUGUUUCAGACUUUUAUUCACUGCUCUCUGCCUCAUUUAGGCAGAAAAAUUGGUAUUUGGAAAAGAUUUUAAAGGAAAGUAUAAGUCACUGUUUGAGAUAUCAAAUAGUAAUUGUUAAAAUAUGGUUUUCUUACAUGAAGUACCCUGUGCUCUUAAUCAUUAACCCUCUAUCCUGAAAUACUGUUUCAAAUACUUUCUUUGAAUGUUCACAUUUGAGAAAUUCCAAAAGACAAACAUUUAUCCUAUAAAAUAAAUGAAAAUGUCAUUUAUAAUAUGUUCCAAGUGCUUGGCACCUAUGCUGAUUGGAUCUAAUCAUAUUGUCUGAUGAGAUUUCCUCUCCAGAGAUAACUAAUUGGAAUGACAUAGUGUAACAGUGAGCUCUGGGUGAAAUAAUCAGACAUUUCGAGCUGAAUGAAUGGCUUUUGUGUCAGAUGUUGCAGAGCUAAAACAUUAUGUGUUGCUUCCUGACUUAUGAACCCCAGAGUUUAAUUCUUCUCUUUUUCUUCACAGAUUCCAUUUUUUGGCAAGAAAAGUCAUCACUUACUUCUGCUGCCCCAAACGUUUCAUUGUUCCUCAUUGCCUCAAGGAAAAAGUCAAUCAUCGCUAUCCUGAAGAGCACUGGUGCCCUAGUUUUUGUUGUUGCCAUUUCUCAUCUUCAAUAUUCUGCUGGUGAUAUGUAAAUAGUAUUUGUCAGGGUCCAGUUUAUUUUAGAAUGCCAAUCGCUGUACUUGGUAUUUCACAUAAAAUAUUGUAUUUAACCCUGAGGGCAAGGGAGAUAAUUAUUUACGUUGACAACAGAGUUAGAUUGAAUAAGGUAUGGAAAUCCUGUAGAGAUACACCUAUGAUGUGAUUCCAAGUCGAACUCAAAUCCAGACGCUUUACCCUUUACGCCCUCCUACUCCUCCAAGAUUCCUCUGAAGGACAACUUCAUUUCAGGCAUUAACAAAAAGCAUCUCACUGUAAUAUUGCAGAGUCCCUACAAUAAGCAUUUUACAGAUGAGAAAACUAAGGCACUACAACAUUAAGAACUUCGCAUAAAGGGACACAGACACUAAGUGGCGGAGUCCUGAUUCAAACCAUAUGUAUCUGAAUUCACGUUCUAUUCUUUUUCCACUCUACUAUAUAGCCUCUUUAUCUGGAAAACUACCCCCUUCAUUCUUCCCCAGUCAAAACUCUACCUAUUCUCCAAGUUACAGCUCCAAUACAACUUCUCUGAUCUUCCUCUGCACUUCAAUAGAACUUACCACACUUGGCUAAUGAGUAUUGCCUUGUACUGUGAUGACAUAAAAUAAAAAUAAAAAUGUGAUGCUGGGUGUAGUGGCUCACACCUGUAAUCCUAGCACUUUGGGAGGCCAAGGCAGGCGGAUGACCUGAGCUCAGGAGCUUGAGAAGCCUGGGCAACAUGGCAAAAUCCCAUCUCUACUAAAAGUCCAAAAAAUUAGCUGGGUAUGGUGGUGCACACCUGUAAUCACAGAUACUUGGGAGGCUGAGUCACGAGAAUUGCUUGAACCCAGGAGGUGGAGGUUACAGUGAGCUGAGAUCACACCACCACAGCACUCUAGCUUGGGCAACAGAGUGAGACUCUGUCUCAAAAAACAAGUAAACAAACAAACAAACAAAAGAUAUGAACAAUAAACUAUUAGAGAAUAUUGAAUAUUUGUACAUACACUACCUCAUUUGAUCCUAAAAUUUAUCCUUAUUAUUCCAGUUUUACAGAAGGGAUUGAAAUGACUUUCUCAGAAAUUACUCAUGCCGUCUGCUAUGUUGUCAAGUUUUGACUUGAACCUGUCUAAAAACAUAUAUAUUUUGCUUUGGCAAAAAUCUAGACUUAGAUAAUAAAAUACUAAGCUUAACUUGAAAUCUUCCAAUGGCAAGCUUCGAUAUAUCAGGCUUUAACAUACAUUUUCUUGUUGAAUCCUUCAUAUAGUUGUAGGAAGUAGUUCAUUUGCUUAUAACCUCACAGCUUUUUCUAUACUGUUGUUGAUUCCUUCAACAAAAAUGUAUUAAAUACCUGUUAUAUACUCAAUAUGGUACCAAAAAGGGUAAAUCUGCUUUAGAAUGUUUUAAUAAUUUCCCAUUUUUCUUAUGUUUAGAACCAAAAUUUCUAAUAUGAUGGGUUCCUUCCUACCUCUCCAGCCUAAACUUAUGCAGCAUUAGAAAUUGUCCCAAGCAUCCUAGCCACGAUGACCUUCUUGCAAUUCUCAGAAUUAUUAAAUUCUAUAUUGCAGAUGUAGGGGAAGAAUAACUUCCCAUCUGCCCUCUGAGGGAUCAAUAAUUAAGUCGAUGAAAUAAACUGACAACAGGCAGAGUAACAUGAGAAAAGGUAUACAAAUUUAUUAUAUGCAAGGAAACAUCACAUGAAAAAAAUCAAAUACUCAAAAACCCAGUGAGAUCUAGAAGCUUAGGUGCAAAUCUUCCUAGCGGAGUGUGAGGGGGAGAAGUAGGCAACUUAGAACAGAGUAAAUUAUUUUGUCAAGAUGAAUAGGCCCUCAGAAAAACACGUGAAAGCCUGUGACAAAGUCUGUCUGGGCAUAGUGUGGACCUCUAGCUUCCUCUCCUGUGAUACAAGCUGAUCUUCCCUGGUUGAUGAGAUUCCUGGGAAGAGAAUUUACACAGUUGAGUUCCUUUUGAAGGACCUAUCUUUAGGCAGACAGAAGAAGUUCAGAGAAAGCCUCUUCCUGCAUUUACCAUUCCCCAAGUAUGCUUAGUUUGAAGUAAUUUGCAUACCAAAACAAUAUAUCUUGGGUAGCAUUCCUGAACUCUUUCAUAGCAUACACUCCAUAGUGCUUUUUAAGUGCUGGGUGCUAUUCAUAAUAGUUUACAAAUAUUUACUAUUUUAAUUAUAACAACCACCUUUAGGGUGGGUACCAUUAAAGCCAAUUUAUAGAGGAGGAAACUGUGGCACAGAAAUUAAAUAGUUUGUAUAACGUCACACAGCUUAAAUAUUAUGCAUCAAGCUCUCUGGUCAAGCAUGCCCUGACCUCCUUUGAACUUGAUCUAUUCCCUGCCAGUAACAUACCUUUUUCUUCAGACUGCAGAUGAAGUUACUCUUCUCUGAAAAGGUUCUUCCAGUUUAUUAUUUUUUUUUUGUACAUACUCAUAUAAUUACAUUUGUUUUCACCUUUGCCCGGGAAAUGUGCAAUUCGUGGAGGGUAUGUGUUCACCUCCAUAUCCCUAGCAUGGUAUUUGCCACAUAGUAGGCACCCAACUAUGUGCUGAAUUAAUAAAUUUGGAUUGAUUAAAUAAGUGUAUCAGGUACCACAGUGCAUACUAUCAGGUAUAAUCCUUGUCCUCCAGGAGCUCUAAGCCUAAUGUCAAAUACAGACAAGGGAACACAUGAUUAUAACCUGACAUAAUAGCUGUAAUGAUUAAACACAAGUGACUGCAGAGCACAGAGGAAGGCAAUUCAUUCUGUCUGAUGAUCUGAAAGGCUUUCCAGAUUCUAUGACAUAUAGGGAAUGAGCAGAAUUUCUAAGGGAGAAAAGAGUUGGAUGGGGUGGUUUCCUGGGUAGAAGGAACCCCUUGUAAGGUACAGACAUAAAAGCAGAGGGUGAGAUAUGACAUAGAGAUAAAUUGUUUAUGGGUGAAUUGGAGAUGGCAUUGAGAGAAGUGGUGAAGAAUGAAGCUUAUUUUGAAGUUUAAGGUCAGUAUUAUGAAAGAUGACAUAGCCUGUGCUAAGAGUUAGAAUCUGGUUGUAUAGAGAGAAGGAAACGAUAAGUAGUAUAAUAAUUUUAAAAGUAUUUUCAAUGUGCUUUAGAAAGAUCAAUCAAACCACUAAAUGGACAAUUAUUCCUCUAUCUUUGAAUUUGGUUUUUGUAGUAUUAAUGCAAAUUUCAAAGGGUACUCCAAAUAGCCCAAUUUAAUAUGAGUCUUAGGACAUCAGGGCUAAAGAAGAUUGAGAAAUGAUUGAAAUGUUUCCUGGUAUCACAGUAAUUUGCAACAAAUCUCUGUAAUUUGCAUUACGAUACAUGCCAAGCUGCAGUAUGAGACAGCCACAGGUCAUCCCCAAGCCCUGAGUAUGCUGUAUCUGUUGCAUUUAUAUCUUCAUUUCAUGAAGUCUUUCAAAUGAUAUACCUAAGACCAAUUGAAUUCCUAAUCAUAAGAAUUCCUGUCUUUACUGAGUUGAUCACCUCAAUAUGUUUGUGAAGUCAGCUUUUUUUGUUGUUUUCAAUAAAACAAGAUUAGGCACAAACCAUUUUAAAAAUAAUAGAGGAUGCAAAUAGUUCAUGGACAAUGUUAAUGUUCAUUAACAAUAGAAUAUAAACCAAACUAAGUAGAUGUUGUGCAACAGUCUCCAGCUUUGUCCUACUACUGGCCAAGACAGCUUUAACAUUUCCCUCAGCUUGACUAAAUUUAAGUAAGCUUCUUUCUGACUUCAGUCCCUGCCCUCUCUUUGCUUAAAACAUUAACUUUAGAAACUUGCGAUUGUAAAUUCCUCCUCUGCCCAUUAGAGAUAUAAAUUUUCUACAACCUAGAAAUAUCUUUCUCAUCAAAUCAUCAAGAAAGAGUGGGCUCCUUUCUCCCAGUUUCUGAGGGACCGUAAUAGCCUAAUUUAGAUAAGUGACAAUCGGCUAACGCAAAUAGCCUAAUCAUUUUAACCAACCUCCCCCAUCCCAAUGUCCUCUUGUAGUUUUCCGUUAGCUCACGACAGCAUUUAAAUAUCUUCAGCAGAACUGUUCAAUCUCUCUCUUCUAUUGCAAUGGCUAUGAUAUAAAUACUAUGUCUUUAAAAGUAAUAUAACUUAGUUUUUCCCUACAGUUAAUUAUCAACAAAAUCACACAUCAGAAAAGCUUGCUUUAAAAACUUGCAGGUAGAUGCAACGUCUAAUACUAAAUAAUGAAAAAAGCAAGAUUCUUAAAACUCUGCAACCUACCUGGGUCAGUCGGUAGCAGCAGCAGCCUUUAUACUUAUUCAUUUUCAAACAUUUGUUGAAUCCCUUACUGUGUGUUAGUAUUGUUUUUAACAUUUGGGAUAUAUCAGUUAAUUAAACAGAUAAAGAUCCUUGCCCUCAAGGAUCUUACAUUUUAGAAGAGAAGAGCAGACGGAACAGAAAUGUGACAUAAAAAUAAAUUAUAGAUUAUGUUUUACAGUGAAAAGUUCUAUGAAAGAAAAAGGAAAUUAAAGCCAGGUUAAGGGAUGUUUUAAUGAAUUUUACUUGGAGUAAAAUAGGAAAGCUUUACAGGAUUUUUAAUAUGGAUGUGACAUGAUUUUACCCAAAGUUUUAAACAAAAUAGAUAAUUCUGGAUGCUGGGUAGAAAAUAAGCCAUAGGUGGAAAAGGUUAAAAGUAGGAGAUCAGAUGAAAGUUACUGCAGUUUAUCCAGGAAAGACUUUAGCACAAAUGUUAAUAAUAGGUCAGGCGGUAUGUAGUAAUAUGUUCUAGAUAUAUUAACAAUCAAGACAACAAAGUUUCCUAAAAGAGAGGAUGUGAGCUGUGGGAGAAAGGGAGAAAGAAUAAUUAAAAGCUUUUUCGCUUGAAGCAAGUAAUAUGCAGUUGCUAUCAAUUGAGAUGGAGAGGGUUGCAUUUGGAAUAGCAUUUGAGAAAAAGACUAAGAGUUAAGUUUGGGACGUGCAGAUUUUUACGAUUUGAAUGUAUUUCAAGAGUAGCUAUUGAUUUGGAAGUUGAAUAUAUGAUCUUGGAGUUAGGAAGAACUGGGUAGGAGAGAUAAAUUUGAGAGUCACUGACAUAUAAAUGCUAUUUUAAAACCACGAGGUAACACCAAGGGAGUGAGAGAAGAAAAGAUGAAGAAUGACUGAGGAAUGGUCCUUGGUCAUUCCAAGUUUCAGGAAUGAGGAGGAAGAGGGGAGAGGAAAGAGGAAAGUUAGGAGAAACACUAGGAAAGUGUGACAAUCUGCAAGUCAAAUGAAGAAAAUAUAUCAAAAAAGGUACAGUGAGCCUUUGGCUCAGAUAUUGCUGAUAGGUGAGUGGAAUGAUAAUUAAUAAUUGAUCAUUGGAUUUGGCAGUGCAGAGAUCAUUGAUGGCUGUUACCACAUUCGUCUUGGUGGAGUUGGAUAAAUACCUGGUUGGAGUAGAUUUAGGAGAGAAUGGGAAAAAGGAUUUAAAGGUAAGCAGUAUUGCUUAAAGCUGUCAAAAGAAGCAAAUAAUUGGAAUAAGUGUGCUGGCACUUGAGGAGGCAAGUUAAUUUUGUUUUGUUUUUAUAAUAUGGUAGAAAAAGUGAUAUGCUUGUAUGUUUUGGGGAAUGGUCCACUAAAGAGUGAAAAUUUGAGGAAAUAGAAGAGAAGGGAACAUUGUUACUGCAAUGUCCUGGAGGAUGCAAAAAGAAAUAGCAUCAAAUAUAAAAGGAGUGGGCAGUUAACUUUACAUAGGAGCAUGAAUAGUUCAUUUAUGUGAACAGGCAGGAUGACAGAGUAGGUGGCAACAGAUGCUGGAAGGUGGGUAGCUGUGCUGAUGAGAGUCUAAAAAAGUUCUCUUCAGAUUAAUUCAGCAUUUCAGUGAAGUAGGAAGCAAGGUCUUCAGCUAAAAGUGAGGUAGAGGGUUUGUGGAAGUAUAAGCAGAGAGGAAGAGCUAUGAAUUACUGUCUAAGAGAUGGGAAAGGGAAGAGAUUAUCACCUUCAUGACUAACCCUCAAUAAAAUUUUACUGUACUAAAUGUCAAGCUGUCAUAUCUUGGUUAACCUCUAUAGCAGUAGUGUGAGAUAAUUACUAUUAUUCCCAUUUCACAGGUGAGAAUACUGAGUCUCAGAGAAAAUAGACAACUGUCCCAAGUUACAUAGUUAAAAAACGAUGACAUUAAUAUUCAAUUUCACCCUAUAUGACUUCAAACAUGAUGCUUUUAAUUACUUUGCACUGCUUCUACAUGUUCCCUUGGGCAUACAAGUGUCUCAGAAGAAUUAAAAAAUAUAUAAAUUAUCUCUCUUUCUUGCACAUGAUAGAAUAUACUCACAUCACAUUUGGUUAUUAAAGUCAUUUAAUGAACAUUUCAUUCUAAAAAAAUAUGCUACAGAAAGAAAUACUGUAAGUUCAAACAGAAGUAACUGACUUCCUACCAUUACCUCUCUUGAUAUGUAAACCCACAUUCUAAUAUUUUAACAUUGCAUAUGUUAAGAGGUGGAGAAUAUUAUAGCAUUAAUUUCAAGGAUCCAUAUAUUAUACUUCCAGCAAUACAAUCUAAGGUUAUAUUUGAUGUUUAACAGCUGAUUACUAUAAGCUUUUCUUGCGUUUAAUAGUUGUAUUGAUUAUGGCUAUUUCCAGCAGCAAGUAACAGAAAAAUCCAAAUAAAUGUGGCAAUAAAAAGAAAGAUUUCACCUCCUUAUAUUAUGAGAAGGCUAGAAAUAGAUGCAGCUAGCUUUGAUUCAGCAUCUCCAAAAUAUUAGCUCCAUCUCUCUAAUUCUCUUAACUUUUUUUCCCUCAUGCUCACAGGAUUACUGCUGCAAUUCCAGGCAUUAUAACCAUUGAGACAUAAACAAAAAGGAAGAGAGAAAUGGUUGCCACCAUCAAUAGCUGUCUUAUUAAUUAAGAAAACAAAAGCUUUACCAAGAACCUCCUUCCUCAUAAACAUCUAUUCACAUUUCAUGAACCAGAAAUGGGUUGUGUAUCUACUAUAGCAGGGAGGGUGGCUGACAAAACAUGGCCAAGGAAGGAUUGGGAAUGGGUGUCGAGCUUAUCAACCAGAAUACCUGCUUCAGCAGUCAUUUUAAUAUUCUAGAUAUGAAAUUUUUACAUGAUCUUCUGCUGAGCCAAGGCCUCCCAUCUUCUCUAUAUAUAGCUUGAUGAUGAAAUUUAAAUUGUAAGGCUUUGAAUUCUUUCAUUAAAAAAAAAGUAUUGGAUUCUGGCCAGAAUUCUCAUUUAAUGAUAAGUUUGAGCCUUGAUUGAUUUUUCUCCUAUAGUGAGAUCCUUUCUAUCUUUCUAUUAAUAUCACAUGCAAAAAUAAUAAGUGCUUUUGUAUGUCUAUCAACAUCUUAAAACUCUGGUAGGAUCAUAGUCAUGUGCUAGUAAAAAGGAAACUGGAAUAGCAGACAAGGAUUGAGUAAGGAAUAUUGGAGUACAAUAGUAGCACAGUUGCAGAGAAAUCAAAAUAAAGAAAAUAAUGUAAUAUAUACAAUGUUAUCUCUUUUUUUAUUAUUUUUCCUCCAUCUACUUCAAAUUAGAUUGAAAAAAAAUUACAAAAAAACACAUUCAUACUUCAUAUGAAAGGUGAACAUAAAUGUGUUUUCACCUUUUGGUCGCUAUAUAGAUGUUGUUCUAUGUGUUAGGACUGUGGUGCAAAAACUAAGAUGGUAAUAAUUGUAACUAUAAGCUGAAACUUUUUUUUUUUUUUUUGAGAUGAAAUCUCACUCUUUCCCCCAGGCUGGGGUGCAGUGGUGCGAUCUCAGCUCACUACAACCUCGGCCUCCAAGGUUCAAGCAAUUCUCCUGCCUCAGCCUCCCAAGUAGCUGGGAUUACAGGCACCUACCACCAGGCCUGGCUAAUUUUUGUAUUUUUAGUAGAGAUGGGGUUUCACCAUAUUGGCCAGGCUGGUCUUGAAUUUCCGACCUCAGGUGAUCAGCCUGCCUCAGACUCCCAAAAUGCUUGGAUUACAGACAUGAGCCACUGCGCCCAGCCAAGUUGAAACUUUUUAAUGCUUAUUUUCAACCAGGUUCAUAGUUCUAAGUGCCUUAAAAAUAUUGGCCAUGCGCAAUGGCUCAUGCCUGUAAUCCUAGCACUUUGGGAGGCUGAGUGGGGUGGAUCACUUGAGGUCAGGAUGUCAAGGCCAGCCUGGCCAACACGGUGAAACCUUGUCUCUACAAAAAAUACAAAAAUUAGCCAGGUGGCAUGGUGCAUGUCUGUAAUCCCAGCUACUUGGGAGACUGAGGCAGGAGAAUCACUUGAACCUGAGAGGUGGAGAUUGAGUGAGCUGAGAUCGCACCACUGCACUCCAGCCUGGGUGACAGAGCGUGACUGUCUCAAAAAAAAAAAAAGUAUAAAGUAUUAACUAAGAGGUUUCAGACAAGUUGGUCAACUAGACACAGUCAGGAAAUGCCACUACCACUGAGAGAGACUACAUUAUCCAGUAAACCACCAAAACUCAGGCAGAUCUUCAAGAGAAAAUGCUGAGCGGAUGGACAGAUGACACUGAACCUGAGGCUGAAGAGGGAGGAAUCUGGGGAUCCUGCACGUGGUACCUGAAAUCCGGGUCUAGUUCCUGGCCACCAGUGGCUCCUGGGUAAGGGUUGAAUAAGGGAACUGAGGGCCAGCUUACUCUCACCAUGGACCUCUGGGAUCCUAGCUAUAGGGGACCAUGCUCAUGGACCUGUGAGCUGGCAGGGGUAUCUCCUUGGGGAGCAGGAAGAGACAGGCCUUCAGCCAGCAGAGAGCCCAGGAGAUUUUGUGUCCUAUGCAGCUCCAGCAGAGAGCUGCCAUCCCCAAGUGGCCCCUAUGCCCUUCUGGGAGGCACAGGCCACAUCUGACCUAGAAGCCAGGAGAGAGUCGGGACUGCAUCCCCACAAGACUGGGGCAUGUCUGCUCUGCAGGCCAUCCUGCCAGCUGGCCUCUCCUAGGGUCUAUGCUUAGCAGUCUGCAGGAGCAGGUGCACAGUGCAGCCCCUGAAGCUCAUCCUGAGGGCUGCAUCUGAGUACCUUAUCAGUGACCCAGGAACACAUUGGAUUCUUCAGCAUAACCAGAAUCACAACAGGAGCCUCAGGAUGUGUCCAUGCCCCAAGGCUGGAGUGUGCAGCUCUGGAGUACUGAGAUGAGAUCCGUGGCUGACACUGAAGCCAGGGAGGAGCCUCCAUCCCCAUAGUACUGAGAGAGGCAAGAUGCAUGAGUUACUGGCUUGGGGUGGGAGCUGGGUGUACCUCCCUCCGUAGGGCCAAUUUAGAGUGUGGUAUUCUUUCCAACCACAGCUUCUGCCCAAGGGAGCCCCAUGGCUGGGAACACCUAACAAAAGAAACACAGGUACAGAGCCAGCAAUUGGAGGGAUUUACCCUAAGGCCCAGUAGUGAACCUGGCAAGUGGACCAUCUCUCUGCCUCACCAACCACAGAGCAUACCUGUGAACCCAAGGAAGUGCAAAAGAGUAAUGGGCUGGAUAUUAACCUAGUUACAGGCCAUUAUUCUUAUGUACCAUCUACUGGAUCACAACCCUAACUAUAACAUCAAAACUUUGUCCCGCUAAUGUAUACACCUGUGAGAUAAAGUGCAAGAUUUCACUGAAACAUAAAGAUCCUGUACAGAGCCCUGGUCCUCUGAAAGCAAUCGGAAAUGAAGCCAAUGGACUAUGCUCAACUUAAACCACAGUUAAAGGAACACCAACUAUCCCAGAUGAGAAAUAAUCAGUGCAAGUAUUCUGGCAAUCCAAAAAGCCAGUUGUCCUCUUACCUCCAAAUGAGUACAUUAGCUCCCCAGCAAUGGUUCUUAAACAGUUGGAAAUAAUUAAAAUAAUAGGCAUAGAAUUCAGAAUCUGGGUGGCAAAGGAACUCAUCAAGAUUCAGGAGAAAGCUGAAACUCAAUCCAAGAAAUUUAGUAAAACAGUUCAAGAGCUGAAAGGCAAAAUAGCCAUCCUAAGAAAGAACCAAACUGAAUUUCUAGAGCUGAAAAACUCACUAAAAGAAUUUUAUAUACAAUGGAAAGUAUUAACAGCAGAAUAGACCAAGCUGAGGAAAGAAUCUCAGCACUCAAAGACUGGUUCUUUGAAUCAACUCAGUCAGACAAAAAUUAAAAGAAAAAAAAGAAUUUUAAUAAAUGAAAAAAAAUUCAAGAAAUACAGGACUAUAAAAAGAGAGGACAUAUACAUCCCAUUGGUAUCCAUGAAAGAGAAGGAGAGAGAAUAAGCAACUUGAAAAAUGUUUUUGAGGAUACUAUUCAUAAAAAUUUAUCUAAUCUCACUAAAGAGCUUGACAUGCAAAUCCAAGAAAUAAAGAAAACCCUCACUUCAUGCUGUACAAGAUGACCAUCCCCAGGGCACAUAGUCAUCAGAUUCUCCAAGGUCAGUGCAAAAGGAAAAAUCUUACAGUUAGCUAGACAGAGGGGUCAUGUGACAUACAGAGGGAACUUCAUCAGGCUAGCAACAGACCUCUCAGCAGAAACAUUACAAGCCAGAGAGACCAGGGUUCCAUUUCCAACAUCCUCAAAUAAAAUAAAUUCCAACCAAGAAUUCAUAUUCCUCCAAACUAAGCUUCAUAAGUGAGGGAGAAAUGAGGUCUUUCUCAGACAAGCAAAUGCUGAGGGAAUAUAUAUCAAUUAGACCAGCCUUAUAGGAAGUCCUUGGAGAAUGCUAAAGAUGGGAUCAAAAGAAUGAUAUCUGCUAUCACAAAAACAUACUUAAGCCCACAGCCCAGAGGCACUAUAAAGAAACUACACAGUCAAGUCUACAUAAAACUAGCUAACAACACAAUGACAGGAUUAAAAUCACACAUAUUAAUGCUAACAUUGAAUAUAAAUGGGCUAAAUGCCCUCACUUAAAAGACAAAGAGUGGCAGUCUGUAUAAAAAGACAAAAUUCAACCAUCUUUUGUCUUCAACACACCCAUCUCACAUGUAAUGACACACAUGGGCCCAAAUUUAAAUGAUGUAGAAAGAUCUACCGUACAAACAGAAAACAAAAAAGAGCAGUAGCCAUUAUUCUUAUAUCAGAUAAAAUCGACUUUAAACCAAUAAGAAUUAAGGAAGACAAUGAAAGAUAUUACAUAUUGAUAAGGGUACAAUCCAACAAGAAGCCUUAACUAUGCUAAAUAUAUAUGCACCCAACAUAGGAGCACCCAGAUUUACAAAACGAGUUCCUCUUGGCCCAUGAAAAGAUUUAGGCAACCACACAAUAAUAGUGGGAGACUUUAACAUCCCAUUCACAGCUUUAGACAGGUCAUCAAGACAGAAAACUGACAAAGAAACUCUGGACUAAGUCCAACAAUUGACAAGCUGGAACUAAUAGACAUCUACAGAACACUCCAUUCAACAACCAUAGAAUAUCCAUUCUUCUAAGUGCACAUGGAACAUAUUCUAAGAUUGACUACAUGUACAGUUUUAAAGCAAGCCUCAAUAAAUUCAAAAAAGUUGAAAUCAUACCAAGCACACUAUCAGACUAUGGUUGAAUAAAAAGAUUAAUGAAACCCAGAGUUGCUUUUCUGAAAAAAAUAAAAAUAAACAAGAUUUAGACCACUAGCCAGCUUAACAAAGAAAAAAAAGAGAAGAUCUAAAUAAGCACAAUCAGAAAUGACAAAGAUGACAUUACAGUUGAUCCCACAGAAAUGCAAAAGAUCUUCAGAGAAUACUGUGAACAACGCUGUGCACACAUAUUAGAAAAUCUAGAAGAAAUAAAUCGCUGGAAGCACACAAUCUCCCAAGAUUGAAUCAGAAAGGAUUAAAACCUUGAAUAGACCAAUAUCAAGCUCUGAAAUUGAAUAAGUAAUAGAAAACAUGCCAACCAGAAAAAGCCCUGGACCAAAUGAAUCCAUAGCCAAAUUCUACCAGAUGUACAAAGAACCGGUACCAAUUCUACAGAAACUAGUUCAAAAAAUCAAGGAGGAGGGACUCCUUCCUAAAUCAUUCCAUGAAGCCAGCAUCAGCUAGUACCAAAACCUGGCAGAUACACGACAAAGAAAGAAAACUUCAGAUCAAUAUCCCUAAUGAACAUAGACACAGAGUCCUCAACAAAAUACUAGCAAACUGAAUCUAGCAGCACAUCAAAAAGUUAAUUCGCCAUAAUCAAGUAAGCCUUAUUCCUCGGAUGCAAUGUUGGUUCAACAUAUGCAUAUCAAUAAGUGUGACUCACCACAUAAACAGAAUUAAAAGCAAAAACCAUAUGAUCAUCUCAAUAGACACAGAAAAGGCUUUUGAAAAAAUUCCACAUCCCUUCAGGAUUAAAACCCUCAAUAGACUAGCUGUCAAAAGAACAUACCUCAAUAUAAUAAGACCAUCUAUGACCAACCCACAGCAAACAUCAUAUUGAACAGGGAAAAGCUGGAACCAUUCCCUUGGGGAACUAGAACAAGGCAAGGACACCCACUCUCACCACUCUUAUUCAACAUAGUACUGGUAUUCCUAGCCAGAGCAAUCAGGCAAGAGAAAGAAAUAACAGGCAUCUAAAUGGGUAAGGAAGUCAAACUAUCUCUUUACUGACUAUAUAAUUUUAUACUUAAAAAACCCUAAAGACUCCAUCAAAAUGCUACUGGAACUGAUAAACGAUUAUAGCAAGGUUUCAGAUUACACAUCAAUGUACAAAAAUUAGUAGUAUUUUUAUACACCAAUAACAUCCAGUCUGAGAGUCAAAUAAAGAACACAGUCUCAUUUACAACACCCAUACAUAAAAAUUAAAUACCUAGGAAUACAUCUAACCAAGGAGAUGAAAGAUCUGUACAAGGAGAACUACAAAACACUGCUCAAAGGAAUCAGAGAUGACACAAAUAAAUUUCUUUAAAAAAAUCCCAUGCUUAUGGAUUGGAAGACUCCACAUCAUUAAAAUGGUCAUAAUACGCAAAGCAAUUUACAGGUUCAUGCCAUUUCUAUCAAAAUACCAAUGUCAUUCUUCACAGAAUUAGAAAAUCUAUGCUAAAAUGUAUAUUAAACCAAAGAAGAGCCCAAAUAGCCAAAGCAAUCCUUAAGCAAAAAGAAGAAAGUCAGAGGCAUCACAUUACCUGACUUCAAACUAUAUUAUAUGGCUAAAGUAACCAAAACAGCAUGGUACUGGUGCAAAAACAGACACACAGACCAAUAGAAUGCAGUAGAAAAUUUAGAAAUAAAGCCACACACCUACGACCAUCAAGUCUUCAACAAAGCUCACAAAAACAAGCUAUGGGGGAAGUCCUCUCUAUUUAAUAAAUGGUGCUGGGAUAACUGGCUAGUCAUAUGUAGAAGAAUGAAACUGGACCCUUUUUUGUUAUAUACAAAAAUUAAUUCAGGGUGGAUUAAAGAUUUAGAUGCAAGGCCUCAAACUAUAAAAAUCCUAGAAGAAAAUUUAGGAAAUAUACUUCUCAACAUCAGACUUAGCAGAUAAAUUUUGGCUAAGUCCCCAAAAGCAAUUUUAACAAAAACAAAAAUUGAUAGCUAUGACCUAAUUAAACUAAAGAAAGUAUUGUACAAAAGAAACCAUCAACAGAGUAAACAGACCUACAAAAUGGGAGGAAAUAUUCACAAACUAUGCAUCUGACAAAGGUCUAAUAUCGAGAAUCCAUAAGGAACUUAAAGAACAAAUAACCCCAUUAAAAAUGGGGAGAGGACAUAAACAGACAUUUCUCAAAAGAAGACAUACAAGUAGCCAAACAAACAUUUUUAAAAAAUGCUCGUCAUGACUAAUCAUCAGAGAAAUGCAAGUCAAAACUACAGUGAGGUAGCACCUCAUACCAGUCAGAAUGGCUAUUAUUAAAAAGCCAAAAAACAACAGAUGCUGGCAAGCUGAAGAGAAAAAGGAACACUCAUAUACUGUUGGUGGAAAUGUAAAUUAGUUCAGCCACCAUGGAAAGCGGUUUGAAGAUUUCUCAAGGAACUUAAAACAGAGCAACCAUUUGACCUAGCAACCGCCUUGUUGGGUAUAUACCCAAAGUAAUACAGAUCAUUAUAUCAAAAAUACACAUGCACUUCUAUGUUUAUCACCAUGCUAUUCACAAUAGCAAAGACAUGGAAUUAAUCUAGGUGCCCAUCAUAGGAGGAUUGGAUAAAGAAAACAUGGUAUACAUCCACCAUGGAAUACUAUGCAACCAUAAAAAAAAAUGAAAUCAUGUCACUUGCAGCAACAUGGAUGGAGCUGGAGGCCAUAAUCCUAAGUGAAUUAAUGUGGAAAGAGAAAAUCAAAUAUUGUGUGGGAGGUAAACAUUGAGCACACAUGGGCAUAAAUAUGGGAACAAAAGAUACUAUGGUCUACUAGAGGGGUGAAGGAGGAAGGGGGAAAUGGGUUGAAAUACUACCUAUUGGAUACUAUGCUUACUACUUGGGUCCAACACACCUGUGUAACAACCCUACACAUGUACUUGGUAUAUCUAAAAUAAAAACUAAAAAUUUAAAAAGUAUAUUAACUAACUCGAUCCUCAUAAUAAUCCACAAAAUGGAUGGGUGGCUAUCGCUCACCCAUCUCAUUUCACAGAUGGGGCACAGAAAUACUGAUUAAUUUUCUGAAGGUCACACAACCCAUAAGAGGCAAAAUUAUAAUUUAACCCCAGGAAGUCUAGCUUGAGUCCAUGUGCUAACCUCUACACUAAAUGCCAACACGGAGGUGGUGGUUUUGUUAUUCUGUUUUGGAUUGCUAUAAUAGAACACCACAAACUGGGUAAUUUAUAUUUUUAAAAGAAAUUUAUUUCUUACAUUUCUGGAUGCUGGAAAGUCUGUGAUCGAGGAGCCCACAUUGGGCAAGGGUCUUCACGCUGCAUCAUCCCACAGCCAAAUGCGUGAGGGCAAAAGAGUGAGAGAGAGCAAGAGAGGGUCUAACUCACUUUUAUAAGAAGCCCACUCUUGCAAUAACUUACUCCACCAAUAAUGACACUAAUCUAUUCAUAAGGGCAAACAUGACCUAAUCACUUUUUAUUAGGCCCUACCUCCCAAAACACUGUUGCAUUAGGGAUUUCAUUUCCAACCCAUGAAUUUUGGGGUACACAUUAAAACCAUGGCAGUGGUUUAAGCCAAGCACCAGAUAACCUUCAAACAAGUCUCAACACAUUUUGGCAAAAUAAUACAACAAAUAUCAAUGAAAACUUUAACUAAGGAGCAAUAACAAAAGACUACAUGGACAUUACAAUUUAUGAAAUGAGACUUAAAGAUGAAUUUAAUUUUACUAGGCAAGAAUCGUUUAAAGAUACAGGGACCUAGGAAGAAUAAACCUCAUGAUCAAUGGCAUAACAUUGAGAACUUCGGAAUGUCAGGUAAAAUUCAGCGUCCACCUUGUUCUGCAUGUUAAGGGAAUAGUAGGAGAUACACCUAUCCUGGCAAUCACACACACAGCAAUGACUGUGGGAUCAAAAAAUCCAAGUCUCAAUGCUGCUACUUAUGCACCAGAUGAACUUUGUCAAGGUCUUUAAUCUCUCUGGGUCUCAGAUGGGAAUGAAAAGUCCACCUAAUAUUUUAUUUGAAAGAUUAAGUGAGAGUGUAAGUGUUCAAAUUACUAUUAACUAAAGCUAGGCCUGAGUGAAAAAUAGGCUAGGACAUUAUUAUGGAGAGAUGUGAAUUUCAGGCUGAGGAGAUGCCAUUGAAGACCUCUGAGAAGGUAAAUAAAAGAGUAGCAUGGUUAGAAUUGUCUAAAGUUCAAUCCAGUGCUCAGUAUAGAAGGAGGUAUAGGAUAUACAGGAGUGUGAUAGGGCAGGGAUCAGGAGAAGACUGGGAAAUAUUAAAACUGGUUGAAAUAUAGUGAAGACCCAUAUUCUAGUUCUGGCAUUUGGACCUGAAAUAAAGACAGACAUUUCAGAAACACUACAGAAGCAGAUAAAAAUAAUUUCACAAUUAUUUUGGAUUUAAAAUGGAGGGAAAAAAAAACCAUCAGUGAUUCUGAGACCUCAAGCCUGAGUGACUUGGAGAAUAAUCAUGCCACCAUCAACAAAACAAAAUUUUGAGGAAGAAAAGCCCUUUUUGGGGAAAGGAUAAAUUGUAUUAUGAUUUUGAUCUGUAUAUAUUGAUUUUAAGGAAUCGAUAAGACACCCUGGUUGAAUUGUCCUGCAAUCAGUUAGUUAUAUGCAUUGGGAGCACAGGAAAGAGGAAGUGGCAAGAUAGAGGGUGUGGUAAAGAGAAUAAUGAACUUUUAGUGAUAUCACAUCCUAAUAUCAGACCAACAAAUAGAUUACAGAGCAAAACGGAAUUAAAGUUGGAGAUAUAAUUAAGGUGAAUAAUCAGUUGACCUUAAAAUAGGGAUAUUAUCCUGGAUAAUCUAGCUGGGCUCAGUAUCAUAAAAAAAAUUCUUAAUAAAAAAGGAGAAAGAUGAAGAGGAAUUUGCAGUGAAGUGAUGUGAAAAGGAUUUAACAAGCCCAUUCAGGCUUUGAGGAUGAGAAAAGGGGUCAAAAGACAAGGAACGUGGCUUUUCUAGAACUCAGAAAUGGUAAAGAAAGAGAUUACUUAUUAGACCCUCUCAGAAGGAAAUGCAAAUGCCAACAGCUUGAUUUUUAGCCCAGUGAAACUCAGGCAGACCUCUAAACUACAAAACUUUAAGAUAAUAAAUGUGUGUUGUUUAAGCCCCUAAAUCUGUGCUAAUGUGUUACAGCAGCAAACAUGAACUAAUAUAUAGUGAUUUUUGGAAUAUUCAGGAUGAAGAUAAUAAUCAGGAACAUUGUGAUUCCAAACACUUCCUGAAAGUGGCCUGUGAAACAAAACUGCAGCUUUUUGAGAAAGCAGGAGUUGUAAGUUGUAAGUCCUUAGAAUAAGUGUAGAGAUAUCUUGUUCCUGUACCAAGUUAUUCAGAACCUUGGGAGUAUACCAAUCAGUUCAUUUGCUGUGUAGAAUCUUAAUCUUGCAAAAAGGAAGUCAGCACGAAUUAUCUGAAUUUAUUCCAGGGUUCAUUUUUAUCUCCACUAUCAUCAUGCAUGAUUCAUUUCAGCACUGCAAGAUAAAGAAUUUCUGGUCAGGGAUAUUGACUCAUGCCUGUAAUCCCAGCACUUUGGGAGUCCAAGGUGGGCAGAUUGCUUGUGUCGAAGGAUUUAACACCAGCCUGGGUAAUAUGGUGAAACUUUGUCUCUACAAAAAAUAUAAAAAAUUAGCUAGGUGUGGUGGUGUGCACCUGUAGUCCCAGCUAUUCAGAAGGCUGAGGUGAGGGGAGACAGUAAGCAGAGAUCCAGCCUGGGUGACAGAGCAAGAUCCUGUCUCAAAAAAAGAAGAAGAAGAAGGAGAAGGGGAAGAGGAAGGGGAAGAAGAGAGAGGGGGAGGUGGAGGGGGAGGGGGAUUGUUGUUGUUAAAGUUUCUUGUCUUGAGGAGAGGAAUAAAUUGAUCAAACUUAGACAACUUAAGCCACCACUGAAAGAAUGGAAAUAGAAAAUUUAGAAAAUUUCAAGCUUCUCCUUUCCAGAAACUUGCAUUCUAUUUUCUGGAAAGAUCCAGCUAAUAUCUCACAGCAUUCAACAUGGGCUGCAUAACUUAUUUUGUGUCCUAGAGUGUCAGUCUUUGUUGCAGAGGAGAUGUGGAAUUGUUUGUGUUGAUUUAAAAAUAAAAACUAUAGCCGGCCAGUCACGGUGGCUCACGUCUAUAAUCCCAGCACUUUGGAAGGCCGAGGCGGGUGGAUCACAAGGUCAGGAGAUAGAGACCAUCAUGGCCAACAAGGUGAAACCCCGUCUCUACUAAAAACACAAAAAUUAGCUGGGUGUGGUGGUGCGCGCCUGUAAUCCCAGCUACUCAGGAGGCUGAGGCAGGAGAAUCACUUCAACCAGGGAGUUGGAGGUUGUGGUGAGUUGAGAUUGCACCACUGCACUCCAGCCUGGCAACAAAGCGAGACUCUGUCUCAAAAAAAAAAAAAAAAAAACACUAAAGCCAAAUUAAAAUUAAAUUUUAAAUAGUUUAAUUGAGCAAAGAACAAUUGAUGAAUCAUUCCUCUUUUUUACAGCCCAGAUAUUUUAUUUCCUACAGCACCAGCACAUAAAGCUGUGUCAGGAUAUCAGAUUUCUUUAAGAGGUAGUAAGAAAAAAUAUAUUUCAAAAUACUUAACUACACCCUUCCCAAGGUUAUAAGAAAAAGCACAAUACCAUUAAUUAACUUAUGAAAGUCACUUUAUUAGCAAAUCCCAGUUUUUAGCCUUAUUUUCCUUCAUUCUAGAAAAACAGCACAUUUCUCCUUUUCAAACCAACACAGAAGAAAUUUCUAUCCCAAUUUAGUUACUCUCCCACUCAUGCCAUCUCCAAUCUCCAGCUCCACUCGAGAGCAUGGGUGGAACCAAAUUUAGCCAAUACUUAUGCCAGGAAAUGUGGUAAGAGAGAGAGGGAAAUCCAAAGCUUCAGCAUAAUAGUCAAGAGUAGACUUUAGCAAACCAAGUUCUGCCACCUUUGAAGUGAAGAAUGAGGAUUCUUUUUGCUUCUACAAUGGGUAAAUACUGGACUAAACAUAAAACAAAUAAAAAUAGCUUUCACAUGACAAGUAUUAAUUCUUGGUGACUAUGCAAAUAGUUCCAGAAAAAAUAAUAUUUGGCAUAUAUGCCAUUGAUAUACUUACUCUUUUCCACAGUAGGAAUCAUAGUUUAUUUAUAUUAUGAGAGAUCUUCAAAAGUUAAUGGAAAAUGUAAUUAUGAAAAAAACCAUGCAUCGAUUUUAAGAAUUUUGCACCAAAAUAAACUCAUACUAACUUGUUGUGACAUGUCUGAAUGGGGUCUAAUUUGAGGCACUAAAAAGGAUAAGACAUUAGUUUGAAAAGAGCCCUUAUCAGAGCAACAUGAAUUUUACCAAAAUUGAAGCAAAAACAACAAAUUUAUGGUGAAGCUUGGGUGGAAGAAUGAUGAAGUCAUUGAUGCUUUACAAAAAGUUUAUGGGGACAUUGCCCAAAGAAAUCAGCAGUUUACAAAUGGAUAACUUGUUUUUUAAAGGAACAAGACAAUGCUGAAAAUAAAACCCUCAGUGGCAUACCAUCUAUAUCAAUUUUCAAGGAAAAAAUUAAUCUUAUUCAUGUCCUAAUUGAAAAGGACCAACAGUUAACAGCAGAAACAUUAGCCAACACCAUAAACAUCUCAACUGAUUCAGCUUACACAAUUCUGACUGAAACAUUUGAGCACACUUUCUACUCAAUGGGUGCCAAAACCCUUGCACCCAGAUCAGCUGUAGAUAAAAACAGAGAUUUCAAUGGAAAUUUAAACAAGUGGGAUCAAGAUCCCAAAGCAUUUCUUUGUAGUUGUAAAAGGAGAUGAAACAUGGCUUUACAAGUAUGAUCUUGAAGAUAAAUCACAAUCAAAGCAAUGGCUACCAAGAGGUGGAAGUGGUAAAAUCAAAGCAAAAGCAGACUCAUCAAGCGUAAAGGUCAUAGCACAGUUUUUUGGAAUGCUCAAAGCAUUUUCUUCAUUGACAUCCUGGAGAAUAAAAGAAUCAUAACAUCUGCUUAUUAUGAGAGUGUUUUGAGAGAGUUAGCCAAAACUUUAGCAGAAAAACACCUGGGAAAGCUUCAUUAGAAAGUCCUUCCCACCAUGACAAUGUUUCUGCUCAUUCUGCCUGUCAAACAAGGGCAAUUUUGCAAGUGUUUUAUGGGGCAUUAUUAGGCAUCCACCUAUAGUCCUGAUUUGGUUCGUUCUGACUUCUUUUUGUUUCCUAAUCUCAAAAAAAUUUUUAAAAGACAGACACUUUUCUUCAGUUAAUAAUGUAAAAAAGACUGUGUUGACAUGGUUAAAUUAUCAGGACCCCUAGUUCUUUAUGGAUGAACAAAAUGGCUGGUAUUACCACUUUUAAAAGUGUCUUAAAUUUGAUGGAGCUUAUAUUGAGAAAUAAAAAAUAAAAUUUAUAUUUAUUAUUUUUAUUUUUUAAUUCCAUUUUCCAUGAACUUUUCUUUUUUUUCUUUUCUUUUUUUUUUUCCUGAGGCUAAGUUUCACUCUCUCACCCAGGCUGGAGUACAGUGGCACGAUCUCAGCUCACUGCAACCACUGCCUCCUAGAUUCAAGCAAUUCUCUUGCCUUAGCCUCCUGACUAGCUGGGAUUAUAGAUGCCUGCCACCACACCCGGCUAAUUUUUUGUAUUUUUAGUAGAGAUGGGGUUUCAUCACAUUGGCCAGGUUGGUCUCGAACUCCUGACCUCAACUGAUCCACUUGCCUUGGCCUCCCAAAGGGCUAGGAUUAUAGGCAUGAGCCACUGCACCCAGCCUUCAUGAACUUUUUGAAGUUACCUUGUAAUAUUUGAAAAUCUUCCAGGGCCCUUCCAAUGCCAAAAACACACACCUUUUUCCCCUGACCCUCUGUCAGUCUUCUGAAUUUAAAGCUGGGCUCUGGGACUUACCAGUGUGAGAAUGUAUGUCCACUAAUGUUUAGAUAGAUAUUGGACAAAAAUUUUCAAAUUUACAUUUUUCACUUCUUGGGCGAUGUAAAUUCAUUGUCAACAACUGCAUUCUCACCUGACUUUAGAAGAGGGUAUAUCUCUCAAACCCUGUGGGUGAAGUAUUCAUUCAGAUGGAAACAGUAUGCUGACAAACUUCUCCUGAUGAGUUGUUUGUUUAUUUUCUGAAAUGAUGACAUUAAUUGGCCAAGAAGGAGAGCACAGUGUGCAGGAAACACACAGAGGGAGUUGAAAGGCUGCUUCCAACUGCUCACUGUCCUUAUUGGAAAUCCUCAUGAGCCUCAAUGAAGGGUAUAUCUACUUCAGAUUGCCCCUUUUUUCUCCUCUUUGGGCUAUGUGAUCUAUGAUUGCAAUUAGCUUGGACAUCAACAUUGUAAAUAUGUGACAGCUAAUGGUUGCGUGGUAUAAACACUUAUAAGAUAUGCUAAAACUGACAGCUUUAAUGUAAUCAACUCCAUGCAGCAGCCACCUUGUAGGGCUGUAGUUUUGAGUAUAGAACAUCUGGAGUUACACUUUAAUUGGUGGUUGUAAUUGUUGCACAGCUGUUUGUAACAGUUCUAGCUAUGUUAAUCACGACUGCAAUGAUGCUUAUCGGGAAGCAGCACUAGAGUCCAAUUCAUGAGUAUCAACAGUUGUUGAUUCAGAAAGUCACAUUGUGUAUUUCCUUACUUAGCAUCAUAUAAAAAGCACACAGAAAAGAAUAAAUGAAAUAAAAAGUUCCAAUUCAUCCAUCUGUAAGUGUGUUUGAGUUCAGAAACAUUAACAGAUUGUUUCCUGAAAUGUACAACCAACCCACUCAAAAUGAGGGCCCAUCAUUGUGUUGCCGGAGACUCUCUGUAGAAAUAUGGGAUAAAGUGUUGUUAACCUUCCAUUAAAAAAAUAGUAUCUACCAGAAUAUCCCUGAAGAACUGAAUGUGAUAUAUGACACAGAAAAUAAGCCACAAGUUUCAUGAAAAAGAUGAGAACCUCCAUGCUCUAAACUGGAAAGGGAGUAUUUGUUUUUUUCUUCACAUGCAUAAUGGAUUAUCAGUGUGAUAAAAGUGUUCAAAAAGUUCCACACCUAGCAUCAAGUCAGAAUUUCUACUCUGCUGCUACAAAUGUGGACAUCUUGAGCAAGUCAUUUUGUGUUCCUAAGUUUCAGUUUUCUCAUCAGUAGAAUGAAAGAAUAGGAUUCGAUUGUUUGUGAAAUCUCUUCCAUCUCUCAUAUCUUUUGUACAAACUUGACUGUUAAUUUUAAUUUUAUUUUUUUUACCAGGUCACCCAAGAGCUCUGAUCUGACUUUUUAAAAGCUACUUACUCUCCUGAAGUUUCUAGUUACCAAAUAGAAAGACACAAAAUUCAGAAAGCUAGGGCUCAACAAUAGGAGAAUAAUGAAGAGAACUUUCAGGAUAAUGGCUGUAAAACAGGUCCCAGAAAACACCUAGUUCAGGUGAGAGCCAGUAACAGGAGUUCACUAAGAAGGAGUCUCCCAGCAAACUAUCAACGAAUGCUUUGAAUAGAAGGAAAUUACUGAUAGGUACUGGAUAAAGCCAUUGAAACAUCUGGAUAGAAGAAAUGGUAAUUGAUGCCCUCAAAGAAAGCAAAUGGGGAAAAAAAUAGCAUAUGAAAUUUUAACCAAGAAAGGAAAUGGGUUUGUGGCAUGCUUUUUAGAUCAACAAUGAAAGUAAUAAGAUGGCCACUGAUUUUUGAUGGAACAAAAAAGCUGAAGGGUAACUGUUUUGAAAACAGAGGAAAGAGAAAUUUAGUGUGGAGGUAGGUAAAGGAGCUGAAUGUUUAUCCACUGUCUUCCAACUAGACUGUAAUUUCUGGACAAUGUCAAAGUGAUAAUGUCUAAAAUGGAUAAAUCAAGACAUUAAAGAGCAAGUACAUUAUUUAGAAGAUAAUAGCAGAAAAUACAAGAAGAAACAACAAAAGUAAACUAAUGAAAUAAAAAUAAAUUGGUUUAGGGGAGUACGGUUGUGGGGUGGGGUAGAUAAAUUUUUAUAAUUGAUUUGUCAUAAUUUUUUAUCUGUUAUAAGCCUUUUAAAAUGAUGUGUCUUUUUGACAUAUAUAUAUUAUUGACAUGUAUAUUUGACACAUUUAUAUGGUUUACCCUGAAAAGCAAUAUUUAGUCUGAAAGUAAAUAAAAACUUCACUCCUGCUUUUAGUGAUAAAUACAAGUCAGAGGCAUUAAGAGACUGAGCAUUAGUUAUGGAAUUUCACGUUUCUGGGAACAAAUAUUUGGAAACCUCAGGGUCCUCAGGGCUCUCUUAUUACACCUUCCCAUGAACAAGUCACAUUCCUCACCAUGAUUUUGUAUCCCUUCUGUUCUCAUUGUCAAAAAAAUCUUUCUUCCUCUCCUUGUGUGCCUACUAAAUUCUUUUUACAUUUAAAAAAACAUAAAAAAUAUUUAUAAAGCUUUUUGGAUUUAACCUUUCCUAUUUAGCACUUUUAAUAAUGUUGAUGUGGCAAUUUGAAAUUUGCAAAACCCUUUUCACUUCAUUUAUUCAUUUAUUACUUCAUUUAUUUUUCAUUUGGGCCAUUUAUUUGUUAGUGCAAUACAUUUCCUGAGUUUCUACUCUGGGUCAAUUACCUAGACAAGAACUGGUGUUAAAAGGCCAACAAAGGAGUUUUACUGGCCUCAUAGCAUUUCACAUUUUCAGGAGGAGGCAAUCAAACACAGAAAGUAUGCAGAUUAAGGAUAUUUGUGCUGUUUGUGGUUGUUUCUGUUUGUUUAUUUCAGUCUUAUGAUUGAGAUAAAAAAUGUGAUGCAUGGUUUCUGGCUUGUAUAUUAGAAUCUCACUGUUUCUGUAAUGAAUAUGUUUCAGCUCAAAAUAUAUAAUGAGACAAAAAUUCAUCCAUAACUUUAUGAUUGAUUAAUCUAAUUUCCUUAAGAAAAUGUAGCUCGAUUUAAUCUUCUUCUUUUCUCUUCUCGUCCUCCCUCCCCCUCUCAAGCAAUACGCCAACUAACCAACAGGCUGCCUUGCUGCCUCUGCUCUGACCCGCAGAAAUGGUCCAGGUUUUUCCUUUUAACAGGUCCCUCAGCUUCAGAUCUGUUGGAGUUUGCCGGAGUUCCACUCCAGAUCCUCAUUGCCUGGCUAUCACCAGCGGAGGCUGCAGAACAGCAAAUAUUGCUGCCUGAUCCUUCCUCUGGAAGCUUUGCCCCAGAGGGUCAGUCGCCUAUAUGAGGUGGAAACACAGAAGUGGAAUCUAGAGGCAGUAGGCCUUGGUGAGCACUUCUAUCAUCAUCUUAAGCAUAAUGAUGGUUGCUCUUCAUUUUCACUCACACCCUCUAACUUGUUCUCAUUUUAUGUGUGGCACCUAAGAGAGUGCUCCUAAUAUAUAAUUUUCUAAAAUGUAAUAACAUACUUCUCAUAAAAAUAUCAAAUGAACAUAUGUUAGUGAUAUUAUUUAACUUGUGAAUUAAUGAAGCAAUGUUAAAACUGGCUCACAUGAGAAUUUAAGGUGGUUAGCUAUUUACAGAAAAUUUAAUAAAGCAAUGCUAGAAUAAGAUUUCUGAAUGAGAUACAACACUAGUUAACAUCCAAUAGGUUAAUAAAACAUAACCUUUGUGGUUAUCUAUUCUUCUGGAAAGAAGUGAUUUGCAUCUCUAUCAGAAGUAAAUCUACAAGUGAAUUUCUGCCCCUUCCAAGCUGUUAAAGAACCCAGUCAAUAAAAAGUCAAUCAAGAGGGCAAACACAGAACUGCUUUGAGAGAACACCCAAUAAUCUCUUUUGUCAUUUCCAUGUUUUCAUAAUAUUUUGACAGUGCCUUGAAAAUAACGGACAUUUAUGAAAUAUAUGUGGAAUUGGAGAAGUAGAGACUGAGUGGAUCUGAAGUCCUUUAUACCGUGGUUUUGGGAUAUCACUAGUUAAAAACUUCUGAUUAAAGGCCAUAUGAAGCUGGGUGUGGUGGCACAUACCUCAGGAAGCUGAGGUGGGAGAAUCACUUGAGCUCAGGAGAACGAGGCUGGAGUGAGCUAUAACUGUGCCACUGCACUCCAGCCUGUGCAAGAGUGAGGCCCCAUCUCUAAAAACAUUAAAAAAAAAAACUAGAUAAAUAAAGGCCAUAUGAUUAUUCUCAAGCAGGCUCCACUAGACAAACAACAAGACCAAGAAGGUCAGGGCACUCAGAAGAGAUGUGUAACUGCUUUCUGAGCAAAGCUGGAUAAAUGGUACUGGGAAAAUAUAAAUAUUAUUGAUCCAUGAUAUCUUAAAAGUUUGAAAGAGAUAAAGGCAUUUUGCACAUUUCUGCAAUUAGAAUGUACUUUUGGCACAUAUCUUGAUGAGUAUACUGCUAUAUAUGAAGCCUCCUACAGAUGGGGGCUUCUUUUUAAGUUGCAUGUUGUGAGAGAUAAUUGAUUAAAAAUUCAAAUUUGAGCAUGGAUGGCCUCAAAAAUCGUGUUUCUAUGUAUUUAUUUUUAUUAUUUAUUCAUCUAUUUAUUUAUUUUUGAGACAGACUGUCACUCUGUCACCCAGGCUGGAGUGUAGUGGCAUGAUCUUGGCUCACUGCAACCUCCGCCUCCAAGGUUCAAGCAAUUCUCCUGCCUCAGCCUCCGAAGUAGCUGGACUACAGAUGUGCACCACCAUGCCUGGCUAAUUUUUGUAUUUUCUGAUAUUAUUAAUAGUAGAGAUGGAGUUUCACCAUUUUGCCCAGGCUGGUCUCAAACCCCUGAGCUCAAGUGAUCAGCCAACUUCAGCCUCCCAAAGUGCUAGGAUUAAAGGUGUGAGCCCAUCAUGCCCAGCCCUCAAUUUAUUUUAUGUUGGUGUCAUU